UGUGACCUCAAAUCAGGUAGGACUACCCGCUGAACUUAAGCAUAUCAAUAAGCGGAGGAAAAGAAACUAACAAGGAUUCCCCUAGUAACUGCGAGUGAAGCGGGAAAAGCUCAAAUUUAAAAUCUGGCGGUUUUUUUGGCCGUCCGAGUUGUAAUCUAGAGAAGUGUUAUCCGCGCUGGACCGUGUACAAGUCUCCUGGAAUGGAGCAUCAUAGAGGGUGAGAAUCCCGUCUUUGACAUGGACUGCCAGGGCUUUGUGAUGCGCUCUCAAAGAGUCGAGUUGUUUGGGAAUGCAGCUCAAAAUGGGUGGUAAAUUCCAUCUAAAGCUAAAUAUUGGCGAGAGACCGAUAGCGAACAAGUACCGUGAGGGAAAGAUGAAAAGAACUUUGGAAAGAGAGUUAAACAGUACGUGAAAUUGCUGAAAGGGAAACGCUUGAAGUCAGUCGCGUCGUCCAGGGAUCAACCUUGCUUUUGCUUGGUGCACUUUCUGGUUCGACGGGUCAGCAUCAAUUUUGACUAUUGGAAAAAGGCUAAGGGAAUGUGGCAUCUUUGGAUGUGUUAUAGCCCUUGGUCACAUACAAUGGUUGGGAU
rnacentral:rRNA from 1 species